rfam:Schistosoma margrebowiei strain Zambia genome assembly, scaffold: SMRZ_scaffold0006034
AGUUUUCUUUAUUCGUGCUGGGAUUUCGUCACGCGCCAGAUCACAGGCUGAUGAGACUCCUAAGAUAAGUGAAGCG